CGACGACGCAUCAUCUGUCGGGCUGACGCGCACCAGAGAAGGCAGAGAUCGAGAUCCAUGAUCCGUCGUCGUCGUCAACCCCCUGCCUUUCAGGGGACAGCACACGGGUCCCGGCGAUCCUCAGGAGAUGUGGCUCGCGUCAUCCACGCGCUGCGCCCCGAUCUUCCAAAGAUCACGUUCCUGCUGCGGGUUCUGUGACUGCGAGCCUCUCUCACGUUGUCAACUUGGCCUUUUCGGCCAGCUUUGCCUUUUCGAGGUGCGGCAGUUCUCUGCUUUUGUUGUUGUUGUUUCCCUCGGCUCCUUGCUGCUCGUCACGUUUCAGUCGAUUGGAAAUUCUAGAGCCCACGUCACCUUGUGUUCAUUGACAGCUUUGAUUUGUUGGACAUAGAAAAUCCAGCAAUCAGCUUCCCACUUCAUUGACAGUGCAUUUUGUAUAGUUUCCGGCUCGUGAUAAACGAAAGAAAUGAGGUUCGUGCUCUUCUCAUGCAUGCGUGGCUUUCUGGAUAGCAAAGAGAUGUAGUGAAGUAAGUUACCUAGAAAGAUAUUUCACCGUUGCCAUGCAGCGAGAGCCACAGGACCUUCGAUCGAUGCCUGACCGACCAUGUUGAAU
rnacentral:lncRNA from 1 species